rnacentral:tRNA from 1 species
GGACAGGUGGCCGAGCGGUCGAAGGCGCACGCUUGGAAAGCGUGUAGGCGGGUAACCGUCUCGUGGGUUCGAAUCCCACCCUGUCCG